CCUACGGGAGGCAGCAGUGAGGAAUAUUGGUCAAUGGACGAGAGUCUGAACCAGCCAAGUAGCGUGAAGGAUGACUGCCCUAUGGGUUGUAAACUUCUUUUAUAUGGGAAUAAAAUGUUCCACGUGUGGGAUUUUGUAUGUACCAUAUGAAUAAGGAUCGGCUAACUCCGUGCCAGCAGCCGCGGUAAUACGGAGGAUCCGAUCGUUAUCCGGAUUUAUUGGGUUUAAAGGGAGCGUAGGUGGAUUGUUAAGUCAGUUGUGAAAGUUUGCGGCUCAACCGGAAAAUUGCAGUUGAAACUGGCAGUCUUGAGUACAGGAGAGGUGGGCGGAAUGCGUGGUGUAGCGGUGAAAUGCUUAGAUAUCACGAAGAACUCCGAUUGCGAAGGCAGUUCACUGGACUGCAACUGACACUGAGGCUCGAAAGUGUGGGUAUCAAACAGGAUUAGAUACCCUUGUAGUC
rnacentral:rRNA from 1 species